rnacentral:rRNA from 1 species
UAAGGAAUAUUGGACAAUGGACGAAAGUCUGAUCCAGCCAUGCCGCGUGCAGGAUGAAAGCCCUAUGGGUUGUAAACUGCUUUUAUACAGGAAGAAAAACUCCGACGUGUCGGAGCUUGACGGUACUGUAAGAAUAAGGAUCGGCUAACUCCGUGCCAGCAGCCGCGGUAAUACGGAGGAUCCAAGCGUUAUCCGGAAUCAUUGGGUUUAAAGGGUCCGCAGGCGGUCUUUUAAGUCAGAGGUGAAAGCCUACAGCUCAACUGUAGAACGGCCUUUGAAACUGAAAGACUUGAGUUAUUGUGAAGUGGUUAGAAUGUGUGGUGUAGCGGUGAAAUGCAUAGAUAUCACACAGAAUACCGAUUGCGAAGGCAGAUCACUAACAAUAUACUGACGCUCAUGGACGAAAGCGUGGGGAGCGAACAGGAUUAGAUACCCUGGUAGUCCACGCCGUAAACGAUGGAUACUAGCUGUUCGUCUAACAUUGGUUAGAUGAGUGGCUAAGCGAAAGUGAUAAGUAUCCCACCUGGGGAGUACGGUCGCAAGACUG